rnacentral:lncRNA from 1 species
UGAUGAAAAGGAGGAGGUUAAGGAGUUGGCUAUAUCAGAUGGAGGGAUCGAUUGUGUUCGGAGAGGCCAAGGUGAUUGUUUCAGUCAUGAAAGAUCAAUCGGAGGUCCAGUCGGUGCAGAUUGAAUAGUUGAUGGUGUGUUUAUCAGAGUUGUCUAUUGCAGGAUCGUCGGAUCAUAGGGAGCUGGAGCACCAAGGACAUGUGCGUCCACACAUGGAGGAGGAGGAGCACCGGGGAGAGCUUUCUUCACGGAUGAUGAUGAAGUCCAUGGCCAUGGCCCGAGCUCUAGGAAUGGAGGUGCAGAGAGAGGUAGAGUUUUUCAGAUGCUCGAACGGUGGUGAGUAGGCAUCAGGAGAGGGCCUAGAGGCUUAUGUAUCGGAGAUAGAUGCUACGGCGGCAAUAGGAUAUAGAGAGGAUCCGAAGACCUAUGAGAAGACUUCCACCAGCACAGAUCAUAGGUGG